rnacentral:rRNA from 1 species
CUGGAGCUUGCUCCAGCCGAUCAGUGGCGAACGGGUGAGUAACACGUGAGCAACCUACCCUUGACUCUGGGAUAACCCCGGGAAACCGGAGCUAAUACCGGAUACGAACCGCACAGGCAUCUGCGUGGUUGGAAAGAUUUAUCGGUCAAGGAUGGGCUCGCGGCCUAUCAGCUUGUUGGUGGGGUAAUGGCCCACCAAGGCGACGACGGGUAGCCGGCCUGAGAGGGCGACCGGCCACACUGGGACUGAGACACGGCCCAGACUUCUACGGAAGGCAGCAGUGGGGAAUAUUGCACAAUGGGCGAAAGCCUGAUGCAGCGACGCCGCGUGAGGGACGAAGGCCUUCGGGUUGUAAACCUCUUUCAGCAGGGAAGAAGCGAAAGUGACGGUACCUGCAGAAGAAGCACCGGCUAACUACGUGCCAGCAGCCGCGGUAAUACGUAGGGUGCAAGCGUUGUCCGGAAUUAUUGGGCGUAAAGAGCUCGUAGGCGGUCUGUCGCGUCUGCUGUGAAAACCUAGGGCUUAACCCUGGGCCUGCAGUGGGUACGGGCAGACUAGAGUGCGGUAGGGGAGACUGGAAUUCCUGGUGUAGCGGUGAAAUGCGCAGAUAUCAGGAGGAACACCGGUGGCGAAGGCGGGUCUCUGGGCCGUAACUGACGCUGAGGAGCGAAAGCAUGGGUAGCGAACAGGAUUAGA